GAUGAAGAACGUAGCGAAAUGCGAUAAGUAGUGUGAAUUGCAGAAUUCAGUGAAUCAUCGAAUCUUUGAACGCACAUUGCGCCCCUUGGUAUUCCAUGGGGCAUGCCUGUUCGAGCGUCAUUUGUACCCUCAAGCUUUGCUUGGUGUUGGGUGUUUGUCCUCUCCUUUGCGUUUGGACUCGCCUUAAAGCAAUUGGCAGCCAGUGUUUUGGUAUUGAAGCGCAGCACAAUUUGCGAUUCUAACCGACUACACCUGCGUCCAUAAGCCUUUUUUAACUUUUGACCUCGGAUCAGGUAGGGAUACCCGCUGAACUUAAGCAUAUCAAUAAGCGGAGGA
rnacentral:misc_RNA from 1 species